GAUGAACGCUGGCGGCGUGCCUAAUACAUGCAAGUCGAGCGAACGGACGAGAAGCUUGCUUUUCUGAUGUUAGCGGCGGACGGGUGAGUAACACGUGGAUAACCUACCUAUAAGACUGGGAUAACUUCGGGAAACCGGAGCUAAUACCGGAUAAUAUUUUGAACCGCAUGGUUCAAAAGUGAAAGACGGUCUUGCUGUCACUUAUAGAUGGAUCCGCGCUGCAUUAGCUAGUUGGUAAGGUAACGGCUUACCAAGGCAACGAUGCAUAGCCGACCUGAGAGGGUGAUCGGCCACACUGGAACUGAGACACGGUCCAGACUCCUACGGGAGGCAGCAGUAGGGAAUCUUCCGCAAUGGGCGAAAGCCUGACGGAGCAACGCCGCGUGAGUGAUGAAGGUCUUCGGAUCGUAAAACUCUGUUAUUAGGGAAGAACAUAUGUGUAAGUAACUGUACACAUCUUGACGGUACCGAAUCAGAAAGCCACGGCUAACUACGUG
rnacentral:rRNA from 1 species